GGGUGCGUAGGCUAAUGGCAAACCUCUCGGCUCCAGACCGAGCAUCGUGGGUUCGAUCCCCACCGCGCCCA
rnacentral:tRNA from 1 species